rnacentral:tRNA from 1 species
AAGAAUUUAAGUUAAAUAAACUAGUGACCUUCAAAGUCAAAAAUAGGAACUCCCUAAGUCUUA